rnacentral:lncRNA from 1 species
GGAAAACUGAUGAGAGCUGGAGGAAACCACAUAUGACAUAAAAUAGGCUCCAAGUUCACCCCCAUUCAUCAUGGCUGUCUUGCAAAAUGAGAAUUAUAACACAUCCAUCAAGAACCAUUUGGAGGCGGGAAUGCAAGUACUCAUGUCUCUGACUAGACUGCUGACCCUCCCUUGGCCAAAUGAAGAGCAGGCUUGUGCUCAAAUCCAUGACCACAUCAGCAGAGCAUUCCACCAUUUUGCUGAGGCUGAACCAGAGCUGGAAUCUCGCUUGCAGCUUGUUGAUUCCCAGUCAGAAGCCUUGGUAGCAAUGAAGAAAUUCAUGGAAGAUAAUCUGCAGGAAAAGCAGGGUGACCUAGCAAACCUGAAGUCACAAAUCACGGCCCUCGAGGAGACUGAGAAGAAGUCUAAGGGAAUGCUGGAAACUGCAAAGCUACACCUAGAAAACACAGAGGAGGAGUUAAGGCUGGCACAUGAUGAAGUGGUGAAGAACCAUAUGGGCCGAAAAAUCGGCAUCCGGCUUAUGGCUCUGCCAGGGCUUGGGUCACUCUUUGGAGCGGGCAUGGCUGUUGGUUACCAGGCAGCUUUGAACUCAGCUGAGAAACUGGUAGCUGAAGCCCAACAGGCAGUAGCUCUAGGCACAGCAGAAGUGGCUGCUUACAGAAAUGAAAUUGUGACUAUUUCUAAAAAGGAGAUGGAGUUGCAAGCUGAGAUAAACGCCAUGGAACAGAAGAUCCCAGAAAUUCAAGCCCAGCAUGAGGAUCUGGUGGUUCUCCAGAGGAAGGUAACCAUGCAGCAGUCCUGGAUCAGAAAAUGCCUUUCCCUGCUGGAUCUAUUGGCAGGGAAAAUUCAUGCUGCUGCUGUCAUGUCCAGCGAUGCUCAUGUGCCCAAGCCCCUCGUGGACAUCUUAGAGGAAAUUGCAGAGAUUGUGGGAGGGAAGAAAGGAGCGGAAUUCUGUGCUGAUAAGGAAAUCCAGAUAUCAGUUUUGGAAAUAAAGAAAGCUGUGAAAUCUUUGAGAGACAGGGCAAGAAACAACAUGCCCAUUGAUUUUUAAUGUUCCUUCCCCUUUGUACACAUUGUAGAGGGCACAAUGUUCUGUUUUAUCAUUACAUUUGCUUGUUUGUGUGAUGUGUAAUGGAUGUGUACCCAAAUACUCAAGCCAAGUCUUGUAUGCAUUUUGUUAGCAUGUCUAUACCAGAUUAUACUGUGUUUUGAA